CCUACGGGAGGCAGCAGUAAGGAAUAUUGGUCAAUGGACGAAAGUCUGAACCAGCCAUGCCGCGUGAAGGAUUAAGGUCCUCUGGAUUGUAAACUUCUUUUAUAGGGGACGAAAAAAGGGCAUUCUUGCUCUCUUGACGGUACCCUGUGAAUAAGCACCGGCUAACUCCGUGCCAGCAGCCGCGGUAAUACGGAGGGUGCAAGCGUUAUCCGGAUUCACUGGGUUUAAAGGGUGCGUAGGCGGGUAGGUAAGUCAGUGGUGAAAUCUCGGAGCUUAACUCCGAAACUGCCAUUGAUACUAUCUAUCUUGAAUAUUGUGGAGGUUUGCGGAAUAUGUCAUGUAGCGGUGAAAUGCAUAGAUAUGACAUAGAACACCUAUUGCGAAGGCAGCAGGCUACACAUAUAUUGACGCUGAGGCACGAAAGCGUGGGGAUCAAACAGGAUUAGAUACCCUGGUAGUCCACGCCCUAAACGAUGAUUACUCGACAUACGUGAUACACUAUGUGUGUCUGNGNGAAGANAUAAGUAAUACACCNGGAGUACGUCGCGAGAGAGAACGACGAAAGAAGUAGACGGACGUGAGACGNGCCGACGGACGACGACGAGGGGAGGAGG
rnacentral:rRNA from 1 species